AAGGAUAUAACUCAAUGNUGUAGCAUUUGCCUAGCAUACAAAAAGGCCCUGGGUUUGAUCCCAGUAUCCUAA
rnacentral:tRNA from 1 species